rnacentral:tRNA from 1 species
GGCUUGUUCGUCUAGGGGUAUGAUUCUUGCUUAGGGUGCAAGAGGGCCCAGGUUCAAAUCCUAGACAAGCCC